CGGAAUUACUGGGCGUAAAGUGUGCGCAGGCGGCCGAGCAAGUCGAGUGUGAAAGCCCCGGGCUUAACUUGGGAAUUGCGCUCGAAACUACUUGGCUGGAGUGUGGCAGAGGAAGGUGGAAUUCCAGGUGUAGCGGUGAAAUGCGUAGAUAUCGGGAGGAACACCAGUGGCGAAGGCGACUACCUGGCCUGUUCUUGACGCUGAGGCGCGAAAGCGUGGGGAGCAAACAGG
rnacentral:rRNA from 1 species